rnacentral:lncRNA from 1 species
GACAACCAGGAAGUGCAAGACUCUGACCCAACGCCCAUGCCUGCCAUCCCCAAACAUGGGCUCAAAACCCCCUUCCCAGGGACGGCUGUGUCCACCCCUCAGCAGGAGGAGGAGACCCCACAGCACCGGGUGAGAGGUCCUGCUGGAUGCUAAGCACCGAAACCUCAACCCGGAACAAGACCAGAACAACCUGAGCAACAACAGGACCAGCGAUGGCUCUCCCUGCUGGAGGAUUCUGGAAGUCACCUGGCUGGACCAAGCCCUCUCCGUGUUCUCUGUCAGCCCACUCCCCAGAGCCGCUAGGCCUGAUGUGCACAAGCAGACUAAUAAAGGCUUGAGGACAAAAAGGGUUUUGAGUGAUAAGUGAAAAAAGAAAGGAGAUAGGGCUGGGCCAACAGGCCUUCCCUUG